UCUCAAAGAUUAAGCCAUGCAUGUGUCAGUGCAAGCCUUCUUUUACGGUGAAACCGCGAAUGGCUCAUUAAAUCAGUCAUAAUCCGUUGGACUUUAUGGAACCGUGUCCUUACUCGGAUAACUGUGGUAAUUCUAGAGCUAAUACGUGCCACGAGUUCCCAAAGUGCGUACUCCACCAUGAGUAGGACGCAAUUAUUAGAACCAAAAAUUGUACCGAAUCCUUACUUGGUGUAAAACUUGGUGAAUCUGGAUAAUACUGCAGAGCGCUUAUUUUGUGCCGGCGCCCGACCUUUGAAGAGUCUGCCCUAUCAGCUUGAUUGUAGAUUAAAUGUCUACAAUGGCUAUAACGGGUAACGGGGAAUCAGGGUUCGAUUCCGGAGAGGGAGCCUGAGAAACGGCUACCACAUCUAAGGAAGGCAGCAGGCACGCAAAUUGCUCAAUCUUAGCUCGAGGAAGCAGUGACAAAAUAUCUUGAUGCGGGACUCUUCCGAGGCCUCGCAAUCAGGAUGCGUUUACUUUAAAGCAGUAAACUGAACGCAAUUGGAGGGCAAGUCUGGUGCCAGCAGCCGCGGUAAUUCCAGCUCCAAUAGCGUAUAUUUAAGUUGCUGCGGUUAAAAAGCUCGUAGUUGGACUUUAUACUCAGGCAGCCAGUCCUCGCUCAUGAGGUUCUUACUGCGUCUGUGACUGAGUGUAUAUGAGACCGUCGAUACUUUUUAAUCUAUAAUUGUUGGUGCAAUUGAGUUAGGUACAUUCGUUAUAAAAGUUUCGACUCUAUCACUUUGAAAAAAUUAGAGUGCUCAAAGCACUCAUUGCAUAAUUGCCUGAAUGGUAGUGCAUGGAAUGAUGGAAGAUGAUCUCUACCUCGUUAAGCUUAAGGGCAUCAAUUUUUUUAUCUUUGCACCAGGUAAAGAUUCGAGGUUUGAGAUAAUGAUUAAAGGGAACUGCCGGGGGCGUUUGUAUUACGGCGCUAGAGGUGAAAUUCUUGGACCGUCGUAAGACAAACUACUGCGAAAGCAUUCGCCAAGAAUGUUUUCAUUAAUCAAGAACGAAAGUUAGAGUUUAGAAGGAGAUCAGAUACCUCCCUAUUUCUAACCGUAAACUAUGCUAACCGGUUGUCCGUCGGAAGUCAUUUCCGAUGGACGAGCGACCCCAGGGAAACCAGAGUUUCUGAGUUCCGGGGGAAGUAUGGUUGCAAAGCUGAAACUUAAAGGAAUUGACGGAAGGGCACCACCAGGAGUGGAGCCUGCGGCUUAAUUUGACUCAACACGGGAAAACUCACCAGGCCCAGAAACAUUUAGGAUUGACAGAUUGAAAGCUCUUUCAUAAUUAUGAGGAUGGUGGUGCAUGGCCGUUCUUAGUUGGUGGAGCGAUCUGUCUGGUUAAUUCCGAUAACGAACGAGAUUCUUAUUUACUAAAUAGAAGGUAGAUCUGAUCCCGAAAGUUUUUUUGGGAGCUUAUGUCGGGUAGUCUAUCUUUCUUCUUAGAAAAAUCAAUGGUGCUCUAAUCAGUUGACAGGAAGAGCAAUAACAGGUCUGUGAUGCCCUUAGAUGUUCUGGGCCGCACGCGCGCUACAAUGCACGGUGCAACACGUCCCCCUUCUCCCUAACGGAGCGGGUAACCGGUUGAAAUCCGGGCCUACUUGGGAUUGGGGCUUGCAAAUAUUUCCCAUGAACGAGGAAUUCCCAGUAAGCGUUGGCUCAUUUAAGUCGCGCUGAUUACGUCCCUGCCCUUUGUACACACCGCCCGUCGCUACUACCGAUUGAAUGAUUCAGUGAGAACAUUGGACUGUCGUUCUAAGGGCUUGAACUGACGGGAAGAUGUUCAAACUUGAUC
rnacentral:rRNA from 1 species